UAUCUUCGGAUAGAAGCGAGUGGCGAACGGCUGAGUAACACGUGGAGACCUGCCCCCUCCCCCGGGAUAGCCGCCCGAAAGGACGGGUAAUACCGGAUAGCCGCAUGGCUAAAGCCCCGCGGGAGGGGAUGGCUCCGCGGCCCAUCAGGUAGACGGCGGGGUGACGGCCCACCGUGCCGACAACGGGUAGCCGGGUUGAGAGACCGACCGGCCAGAUUGGGACUGAGACACGGCCCAGACUCCUACGGGAGGCAGCAGUGGGGAAUCUUGCGCAAUGGGGGGAACCCUGACGCAGCGACGCCGCGUGCGGGACGGAGGCCUUCGGGUCGUAAACCGCUUUCAGCAGGGAAGAGCAAGACUGUACCGCAGAAGAAGCCCCGGCUAACUACGUGCCAGCAGCCCGGUAAUACGUAGGGGGCGAGCGUUAUCCGGAUUAUUGGGCGUAAAGCGCGCGUAGGCGGCCCGGCAGGCCGGGGGUCGAGGGGGGGCUCAACCCCCCGAACCCCCGGAACCUCCGCGGCUUGGGUCCGGUAGGGGAGGGUGGAACACCCGGUGUAGCGGUGGAAUGCGCAGAUAUCGGGUGGAACACCGGUGGCGAAGGC
rnacentral:rRNA from 1 species